rnacentral:rRNA from 1 species
AGUGGCGCACGGGUGAGUAACGCGUAUGCAACCUGCCCUGUACAGGGGGAUAGCCCGGAGAAAUCCGGAUUAAUACCCCAUAGUUUUUAUGAGUCGCAUGGCUUAUAAAAUAAAGUUUCGGCGGUACAGGAUGGGCAUGCGUGGCAUUAGCUAGUUGGUAAGGUAACGGCUUACCAAGGCGACGAUGCCUAGGGGUUCUGAGAGGAUGAUCCCCCACACUGGGACUGAGACACGGCCCAGACUCCUACGGGAGGCAGCAGUGAGGAAUAUUGGUCAAUGGGCGAGAGCCUGAACCAGCCAUCCCGCGUGCAGGAUGACGGCCCUACGGGUUGUAAACUGCUUUUAUGUACCAAGAAUGUGUUCUACGUGUAGGAUUUUGACGGUAGUACAUGAAUAAGCAUCGGCUAACUCCGUGCCAGCAGCCGCGGUAAUACGGAGGAUGCAAGCGUUAUCCGGAUUCAUUGGGUUUAAAGGGUGCGUAGGCGGCUAUAUAAGUCAGUGGUGAAAUGCUGCAGCUCAACUGUAGAACUGCCAUUGAAACUGUAUAGCUUGAGUGCGCCUGAGGUAGGCGGAAUGAGUAGUGUAGCGGUGAAAUGCUUAGAUAUUACUCAGAACACCGAUUGCGAAGGCAGCUUACUAAAGCGUAACUGACGCUGAUGCACGAAAGCGUGGGGAGCGAACAGGAUUAGAUACCCUGGUAGUCCACGCCGUAAACGAUGAUAACUCGCUGUUGGCGAUACACAGUCAGCGGCUUAGCGAAAGCAUUAAGUUAUCCACCUGGGGAGUACGAUCGCAAGGUUGAAACUCAAAGGAAUUGACGGGGGCCCGCACAAGCGGAGGAACAUGUGGUUUAAUUCGAUGAUACGCGAGGAACCUUACCUGGGCUUAAA